ACGCUCGACACCUACGGGAGGCAGCAGUGGGGAAUAUUGCACAAUGGGGGAAACCCUGAUGCAGCAACGCCGCGUGAAGGAAGACGGUUUUCGGAUUGUAAACUUCUGUUCUUAGUGAAGAUAGUGACGGUAGCUAAGGAGCAAGCCACGGUAAUCUGAGCGGGCUGGCAAGGC
rnacentral:rRNA from 1 species